UCGCAAUAGUUGAGCGGUACGGUUCCAAAAUCAAACACUUUCGUAUAGCGCGGAAUACAAGGAGCCGACAGGGGUGCCCUUGGUGGAAAGGCAUUCCUGCCCUGGGCUAGUAAAUCAGACGCUGGGGCAAGUUCAGCAAUUGGAUUCUCUCAUCCAUAUUGCGAUGCGUGCUUUGUUUACGUAUCACAUCACUGGGAACAAGUGGCACUUCAUUAGGACAAUCCCCGUCGUACAUUGCAAACGAGCCAGCUACACAAUUUGAAAAUACAGCCCGAAGUUCGUGACGUUUCUGAGAACUGUUCAACUUCUUUUCAAGUAAUUUCACUCUCGGUGAAACUGUUUCGUCUUCGUUUCUACUGCGUCGUUCAUUACUGCUAUUCAGCGCUUUGUUUUGUUCAAAAGAAGGUACCGGUUUAUGAACUACUUCAAUCACACUGCUCGCGGAAGCAGACGCGGUGCAACUGAAAGCAGGGCUAUCAACUCGUGUUUGCUCCUCAGCCAUGAGAUGGUGUUGAUCUGAAUCAAUUAUUUUUCUGCUCGAUCUGAAACUAACGUUGCGACGAAACCAAUUAUUUACAGCACCGUCGGCUUGUCGAAAACUAUGCCUAAGAAACGUUCGAAUAUCCCCUUUAUUGCGCAGUGUCGGCUUAAAACAACUCUUCCUCGCCAACGAUGUUCCACUUCCACUUAAGUUGCGACUUUGUGCCGACAACUGAACGACACUGUUUCGCAGCGUGCAGUACGAAUCGUCCAUUUCAAGUGAAUUAUUCUCUUUUUCAAUGGAUAAAGAAAGCCGAUCGCAUUUGACGGAGCUGUGAACGGUCGACUGACACUGGCUAUCACUAAUAGGCAACGGCUUGUUCAAAUCGACCACCAGCGAAGAAGAAAUGCUUUUCCAAAUGCUCUUGUUGGCAGAUUUUAUUGCAGUUAAAGUGUUGUCCGGGCAUUUCAUCCUUUUACAUUUGGCGAACACUGCAUCAACGUUGUUGUAAUAUUCCAACGAAUCUAUGAACCGUUGAUUCAUAUAUCUGUGAGCAAUGCAAGCUACACAACCGCAACGCAAUUCACCUAUUAAUCUACUAUUUCUACCCAGCUUCAUUUUUGAACGCAAAUUCACGUUCGCUUUUCCUUGUGCAAUGACGAAAUCACAAGCCUUCAAGCAAUGCUUCUCAUUUGCAAUUUCUUCACUUUUGCAAUUCAUCAUUAAACAAGUAGAUUCUUCUUCCAAAUCGCCUUUCUCGUUUCCAAUCUGAAGUGGAGCAAGGUUCCAUGUGAACAGCAGUUGGACAUGGGUCAGUCGAUCCUAAGAAAACGGCGAAAGCUUGUUCGAAUUUGCGACAUGAAUUGUAAGACUGAAUAAUUAUUUGUGUGUGUGUUGUGGUGGAGGCGAUUGUGUCGUCACCAGUUGUUGUUGUGUGCAGUUGUCGUAUGUUUUCGAAAGGGAAUCCGGUUGAUAUUCCGGAACCGAGUAACGGAGACAAAGAGUAGCGCUUUAAUCUCUCUGUGGGGUUGGCGUUCAACUCAAUCGCGCGGUAACGCAAGCGAACUCGGAAAAUGACCGUCGUGAGUUUCGAAAAGAGUUUUCUUUUCUUUUUAAGGGACGCAUUCCCUGGAACCGGGUUGUCCGGAGAUAGGGAUUCUGGUAUCCAUAAAACGCCGACUUUUUCACGGUGUUCGGAGCGCUCUCGUCGGUACGUGAAAAUCCGAGCGACGCCUGGUAAAUCUCGUACUUGGUCGUACUGAUAUCCGCAGCAGGUCUCCAAGGUGAAUAGCCUCGGCCGAUAGGAAUAAUGUAGGUAAGGGAAGUCGGCAAAACGGAUCCGUAACUUCGGAACAAGGAUUGGCUCUAAGGGCUGGGCCGAUCGGGCUGAGGUUUCAAGCGUGCAGUGUAUGCUUGGCUUAGUUGUGUUGAGGACUUGUUCACUUGCCACCGGUUGUUCGGCUGGUCGAGUGUAUUCGAGUCUGAAGCAGAGCUGGCCGACAGACCGGCACGUGCAGAACCUGAGCUGCGCGGCUGUCCGUUUUCGUGUACAGACCGUUUCGGUCGGCAUUCAACAGCCAACUUAGAACUGGCACGGACACAAGGAAUCUGACUGUAUAAUUAAAACAAAGCAUUGCGAUGGCCGAUGAUCGGUGAUGACGCAAUGUGAUUUCUGCCCAGUGCUCUGAAUGUCAAAGUGAAGAAAUUCAAUCAAGCGCGGGUAAACGGCGGGAGUAACUAUGACUCUCUUAAGGUAGCCAAAUGCCUCGUCAUCUAAUUAGUGACGCGUAUGAAUGGAUCAACAAGAUUCCUUCUGUCCCUAUCUACUAUCUAGCGAAACCACAGCCAAGGGAACGGGCUUGGCAAAAUCAGCGGGGAAAGAAGACCCUGUUGAGCUUGACUCUAGUCUGACUCUGUGAAGAGACAUGAAAGGUGUAGCAUAGGUGGGAGAUUGUCAAUUUGCCAUCGUUCACGCGAUGGUCCGGUGAUCGCCAAUGAAAUACCACUACUUUGAUCGUUUCUUUACUUAUUCGGUAAAGCGAAAAAAUUGUGGCCAAUUUGGCGGCGUUUAUGUCGCUGUUGGUCAUUGUUUUCAUGUUGGAUUGAAGCUUUGUUUACAGCCGUCGCUUUGUGUCUUCAUUUGGCGCAUUGUUGUACUGGGUUAUCCCAGUGUGUGAUGUGGUCACAAUGGAUGAUCGGCGAUAGGCUUGAAGUGAUUCGCUCCGGAAACAGUGUCAGACGGGGAGUUUGACUGGGGCGGUACAUCUGUUAAACGAUAACGCAGGUGUCCUAAGGUAAGCUCAGCGAGGACAGAAACCUCGCCUAGAGUAAACGGGCACAAGCUUACUUGAUUUUGAUUUCCAGUACGAAUAGAAACCGCGAAAGCGUGGCCUAUCGAUCCUUUUGAUUGUGUAGAUUUCAUGCAAGAGGUGUCAGAAAAGUUACCACAGGGAUAACUGGCUUGUGGCAGCCAAGCGUCCAUAGCGACGUUGCUUUUUGAUCCUUCGAUGUCGGCUCUUCCUAUCAUUGCGAAGCAGAAUUCGCCAAGCGUUGGAUUGUUCACCCACCAAUAGGGAACGUGAGCUGGGUUUAGACCGUCGUGAGACAGGUUAGUUUUACCCUACUGAUGACAAGUCGUUGCGAUAGUAAUCCUGCUCAGUACGAGAGGAACCGCGGGAUCAGACAUUUGGUUCAUGCGCUCGGCUGAAAGGCCGGUGGCGCGAAGCUAGCAUCUGCAAGAUUAUGACUGAACGCCUCUAAGUCAGAAUCUUUUCUAGUCAUUGGCAACGAUAAGUUGCGUCCAGACUCGAUGCGAGGAAACGAUUAGGCUUUGCUGCUAUACGGCGAAGCCAUUAUCAGACCACGGUAGCAGGCAGUAUGGGAUUGUUACGAAGAAGCAAUUUUUUGAAGUCAGUUGAAUUCAAUGAAACUGCUAACAAUUCCACUGCGAAUGACUCCAUUCGAAUCAAU
rnacentral:rRNA from 1 species